UGAAACCACAAGGCCUCGGAUUUACUGA
rnacentral:sRNA from 1 species